CGCUGGCGGCAGGCUUAACACAUGCAAGUCGAGCGGUAACAGGAGUAGCUUGCUACUCGCUGACGAGCGGCGGACGGGUGAGUAACGCGUAGAAAACUGCCCGGUAGUGGAGGAUAGCCCAGAGAAAUUUGGAUUAAUACUGCAUACGCUCUACGGAGGAAAGCGGGCUUUGGCUCGCGCUAUCGGAUGUGUCUGCGUGAGAUUAGCUAGUUGGUGAGGUAAUGGCUCACCAAGGCGACGAU
rnacentral:rRNA from 18 species